CGGCCCUAAACCAACUCGGUCCGCAACAAAAAAGAAAUCACUUUAGAUUGUUUAGUUGAUGAACAUCCAGCGGUAGAUCACAUAUACUAAAAAUAAUUGAAAAGAUCUGUAUGUUUUAUUAUCUUUGUUAAGAUGAGAUGUUGUGAUUAAUACAACAGGGUCAGGGACCAUCAACCGCGGACACUUUUUGAACAUUUUUCUGUACAGGUUUCAUAAGUUUUAACCUAGAGACCAAAAAAAUUGACAAGGUUCAGCUAGGUUCUUCCCCUAACUAACAAACUUGUUUGUCUGAUUGUAUUGACACUUAUAUCUGAGGCUCGACAAGGAGGUAUCAAAAUUACCUCAAUUGUCUACACUACAGCACCAUGUGUCCGGACAUUUAUGUACAUGACGUUAUUUAAUUCAGAUAACAGCUUGGGUGUUUUAAUUUUUAACAUGAUAGACAAUGAUUCAGAAACAAAUGCUGAAGUUUUGGAAAUUCUAUUGUUUACUCUGCAAAUGAUUAUAGAUGGUAUAUGAGGUCAGGCAUUGUUUUCUUGACCCCCCAAAUUUCAACGUCAACAUUCUUGAAAUAGCCAUUAAAAUUAUAUUACCAUUUACGGUGGUUGAAAUAAAUUUAUUUAUUUAUUUUUAGAAGAAACAUGCAUUUAUUGUUGAUAAAAAAGUGACAACCACUGAACAAAGAAAAUACUAAAUUAAGCAUUUUCAGGGCCGUCCGGGUUUGGUGGUUGUCCGGUUUUGGUGGUCCCCAACCAGUAGCCUAAACAUUUAUGAACUGUAAAUUCUUCCCUCACACACUUUCAUCAAUAACAAUUUCAAUUAGAAAAGGUAUAUAAAUUAUGACAUGAAAACGUAAAACAAUGAAAGGUAUGAACACAUGAAACAAAGAUAAUUCAACAUAGAGCAACAAAACUAGUUCCACUGAGGAAUACCGUACCGCCGGUAAGGCCCCCACGGUUACACUUUUAAACGGAUUCGUUUCGAUUUUCAUUCAUAAACGGUUAUGAUAUUUUUUACCGUUUAUUCGAGAUGACCAUAUUGUCUUACAAAUUAUCUUAAUAAUUUCCUGUAAUCAUGGAUUUUAUCUAUACUAAUUGGUUUAUCAAAGUAAAAAAUGGAAAAUGGGUGUUUACAACCCGGACCACACACCAUCACCGUGCAAUAAUCGCUUGUGACAUAAUUCAUUUUUGUUAAAGUUGAUUUUUCUUUGAUCUUUUAAAUAACGAAAUGCGGAUACAAUGCAGAAAAUGUGUGCCGCCUAAAUCGUGAUGAGCACUGAACAUUAUUUACUUGUAUAGAAAGUAAGUCAUCAUUUGGCGACUCGAAUACAUGGUAUAGUAUAGUGCAUAGAAGUACCACCGUUUAAACGGUAUCGAUUCGGUUCUUAGCAAUCAUGUAAAGGUUUACAAAAAAUUGUAAACGUGGGAGCCUUUACCGCCGGAUAUUGCUCGAUAUUACGAGGACUUUCAUCCCAUUUCAAGACUAUGAACAAAGGUAAAUUCAAGGCCAUCAAAAAGGCUGUAUGAAUCGGAUAGUGACACUGAUGAGAAUGAGACAGACACCGAGAGUAGGCCAUCACAAGUUAUUGACAAAGCAACAACGCCAAACAGGCACGAAGCCUGCUUUCACCUCCGCCUUGCUUAUCUGCACAGGCAUUGCGAGAGGCCAGAAGUGAUGUGCAAAGACUGCUUCUCUAAUACAAGGUGCUUCUGAUACGCCCUCCCGUGGGCAGAUUAUUGGGCCCACUGCUGUUACACAGAUUCUCUGAGUCUUGGAGACAAUGCGGGAGGAGAAUCGUGAAAUUAAGAGGAUGAUGUAGCAAUUGUUGUCAAGGUCAGCAGCAGAUGACCAACCGCUGCAGCUUCCUGAAGAUAUCUCAUUCCCUAUUCGUUCUCCAUAGCAGAUGGAAACAUUCGAUGAGCUUCUGGGAGAUCAGACAAAGCUGUCAUCUGUGGUGCGGUUCCUCUCAAUGUUUGGUGGGGCAGUUGUGCGGGAAACUGUUGACCGCUAGAUGAAAGAAACCAUGUCAAAUGAACUGGCAAGAAUGUACAAUAUGAAGGGGCUGAAAGGGAAGAAAACAUUUGGGGGCCUCUAGAUACUGAAUGUAUUGUAUAAAUGUGUCCAAAGGAACUUGCCGGCAAAGACUGCGACGAGGAAGGAUAUUGAAAUAAAGGUUUCAAAGUGGCUGGCUGGGGCGUGGGACCGCGAUGGGGGAAGGAAAGCAAGAAACAAAGUGUCCGAGACCUUACCUGAAGCAAAUGAAGGAAGUGACUAGACAUGUUUUUAUUUUUAAAAAAUGCAAAUCUAUAGAGGAUAUUUGUUUGUUAGUGUGUAAGAUGAAAUUUUAUAUCAUCAAGUGAGCUGUAAAAACAUUAUUCUCACGAGUGAGAACACUGUUAUUUAAAAGUCCCUCAAUGAUAUAAAAUUACAUCUUACACAACAAACAAUAAAGUGUCUUUUUAUUUUAUGCUAAUGAAAUUUCCUCAAUAUUAACUUUAAUAAUAAUAUUAUUAAAUCUGUUUUCCCCACUGUUAACAUCAAUUUUAGUUGAAUUUAAGUCCAAUUAUUCAUAAAUACAGGAGUCUUGGGCUUAACAAAAAGUUUGACAAUCAACGUUGAAUAGCAAUGAUUUUAUUUAUUUUAUUAAAAAAAUAUGAAUAAUCGCUUGUUUUAAUAAUAAAAACAACCAAUUCUAGAAUAAAAAGUCACACCAUCCCACCUUAUUUCUGUUACUCAGGCAAUUUAUGUAUGACCUGGCUUUGUGAAAUGUAAGUGGCGGCCAUUUUUAAAAGUUUUGUAUUUUAAGGAAAAUUAAUUUGGUUUUAUUCAGAGGAAUAUUAUUUGGAUAGGUUAGUCUUGAAACAGUCCUGAGAAUGUCAGAAUUGUAAGCAAAAAUGAUAUUAAGGUACCACAUGGGGAAAAUCUUUAAAAAGUAGUCUCGUCAUUGAAAAGUUUGAAAUUUGGAUCAUUUUCACUGUGAAAUUAUCAAAUAUAAUUUUCACGGAUACAUCAGUAAUACACACAAAAGCAUAAAAUGAAUGACUUUUAUUUUACAUUUUCGAACCUUUUCUUCAUCGGCAUAUAAGUUAUUCCAAUGAUUGAAAGUCAAUAGAUAUCAAAGUAUUUUAAAAUGUGAUCAGAACUACAGUAAGUGGCUCAUUUGUGUGUCUUGUUAUACUUUUUGUUGCUAAUUUUAAUGUUUGAGGUCAUCAGCAUAGCAUGUCUUUCUUGUAAAUGAAAAAAUCUUUGCCUUCUAGUCAGUUUAUUUUGCUGCUAUGUAAUGUUUGUUGUUGACAUUAUAUGCUGUUUUUUCUGUUGUCUAUAUGCUGUUGUUAUUUUUUUUUCAUUAAACAUUGUUGCUAUUUAAAUCAAGACAUUAAAUGCUUGGGGAAUGUUUUUGAUACUGAUCAAUACAAUUAUAACAUCUUGUCCAAACUUAACACUAACAGGGAACACAUAUAUAGAUAUGGUAUUAACCUUUUAAAUCAAGUUGAAAUACUUUACAAUGAUGCUUCUUGUAAUCUUUAUUUUUGUUAUUGUUGAAACUUUGAUAAUACCGGUAUUGGAUAAAUUACUGAAACAACUAUUGUUACUGACAAUUUUUUAAAUGAACUUCUUCACAACAAAUUUGAUCUUGUUAAAUCAGUAUUAUUUCACAUUUUUUAAAGGAAUAUAUCCAUAAAUAAUUACUGUUCUGUGAUAUAUAGGAUAAUUGUUAAUUUCGGUGUAAUAUCACAUUUUAUUUAUAAUUAAUUUCACAGAGUGGAUACCUGAAGUGUUGUUCACAAAGUGGCGCAGCCAUGUUGUUCACAAAGUGGCGCAGCCAUGAGUGAAAAUAACAACUUUUGGUAUUCAGAAGUGAACUUAUCAUGAUAUUUACAUUGAUACAGUAUACAUGUAUGUGUUUACUUUAUGUCUAAAACUCCACUAAUGUUUGGUUCCUUUCAAUAAAAGGUUGAAAUAUGCGAGAAACUUUUUAUCAGGAAGCAUCGCAAAGAUGAAGUCAUUUUAUUGACGUUGUUGUCAUAUUUUUUUUCCGAAUUUCAGUAUACUUGGUUAACUUUUUUGAUAUUUAUAUAGUUAUCAAAUUCGAUAAUUUUUUUCACAAAGUGGCUAGUGAGUCAGGAUAGAAUUCAACGUUAACUUCCAUAAACCAUUGAAAAUUGAUAAAAGAUUAAUGAAAUUCUUAUUGAGAAUGAUAUUAGCACAUAGAAAACUGAUCCAAACAGUAACGUUUCACAAAAGGUUACUAUAACUAUUGAUAUUAACAAUUGAAAUGCAUUAAAUUGUAAAUACUAUUGUUAUUUCUUGCCUUUAUUGUGGUUUUUGUUGAUGAAGAUAUGAGAAAUGAAGCUGGUUAUUUUUACAAACUGGUACAAACUAUUUGUUACUUUUCAUCAGCUGCAUAUUUUUUUUACACGUCUAUAAACAGUAUUUCUAUGUGCCAAGGUUUUG